rnacentral:tRNA from 1 species
AGUGAUCGAGGUUGUUUAUGACUGUUUGUUUUCAAAACAAAAGGAGGCUUGUUGAGGUCGGUUACUG